AUUUAAGCGCCAGACCGCAUAUGCGGUUAACGAGGAGAGAGGUUUAUCGAAAAUUCGGCGGAUGCCUCUCCGGCGAUUUGUUUUCGUCGAUAAGCGUUUUACAAAUAUUCGGGUGACCGGAAAAUAAAAGGA
rnacentral:ncRNA from 1 species